AAGUGUAAUAGCUUAUUUUGGUCUUUAAUUAAUCUUUCUCUUAGUCUUUAAAUAAUCUUUCUCUCAGUUUCUCUCCUUCCACAAAAUACAAAUCAAGAGUUGACGGGGUAUAUAUGUAUUAUGUGCAAGCUUUCAACAACGAGUUGUUUAAUUAGCUCAAGUCAUUGGUCAUUGGAUGCCCAAUAAUAAUUCUUUUUUUUUGUAUUUUUUAUGAUCAUAUGAGAGCAUACGGUAAACUAUUUAUAAGCCAGCUAUCCUAUUUAUGGUCUUUUUUUUUUCUUUUUCUGAUCAUGUUGCUUAUAUAUCUAUAUAUAUUUAUCUGUUUUGAUACAAUAAACUAUUAGAUAGUAAUAUUUAUUCUUAGUAUUUAAUUGAUAUGGGCAUCCAGUGACGAAAGAUUGGGUAAAUAACUGAUGUCAUUGCUUUGUUCAUUAGUUUCCAGCCUUUUUAUCGGAAUAGCAUGUAUUUCUAAGCAUUAAAUAAGUGAUUGUAAACUUUCAUAAAACACAUGGCUAGUGUAGAAUUUUUUGUUAAUUUUUUUUCUUAACAAGUGCUUAUGGUUAUGACGAGGAAUAAAAGCCUACGGAUCGUUUGUUAGAAAAUACAGUGGAGCCUUAGAAACAGUGAUGGAUUUAUAGUAGACGAUGGUAACGGAUUUGGUUAAAAGUGGGGAUGGAAGAUGGUGGUGAAGACAGCCAUGGCUGCCUGGCCAUGAGAAGGAAGGUAAUAUCGGUGGGGAGUCUGCGACUGUGUGAUUAAUAAGUGAUACGCCCCUACCCUGAUAUUCUCCGAAUACCAGGAUAGACACGUGCUGGCCGACACCCGAGGGUGACGAAAGCCAUUAAUUGAUACAAAAGCUAAGAAUAAGAAAUAAAUAAGGGUUAUGAAUUUAAAAUACAAUGAAUUAACAAUUUAGGAACGUGUUUAGAGCAUACAACUAAAUCUAAUCACUAAAAAGAAUUAAGAUAAAAUUGAAUGAAUAAAGAAGUGAGUCCUACAUCAAGAGGAUUCAAAGAUGCUACUGCGGAAGUGUCUUGACGCUGGGAUUAGAUGUCUUGAUCCUAAGUCCUGAAUGGGGGCGCAAAACAAAGGUGAGUGGACCAAGUUCAUAUAUAUAAUAAUAAUAAAACAGUUAUCAAGAUACUAACCCCCACAGUUUAAUAAUGAAAACUACUAGCAUAAUAAGUGAUGGAUUUAAUAAAAUCCUAGCAUACCAAAUAUCUCAAAAGCCAUAUCGCAGAAAUGCAUCGCGGAAAUCAAAACAGUAAACGUAUCAUAAAUCGUCUCGUAAACGCGGUGUGCUGCUAGAAAGAUCACUGAAUAAAUAAACUCCCAGCCCAAUGCCUGCUCCGUGGUCUCUGCGCCCGUAGCCAGAGAUUACCAACUCUCAGCCCAAUACCUGCUCCAUGUCCCUCAACCCGUAGCUAGGGAUUAUUUAUCCCGGCCUAAAUGCCAACACCAGUUCCUCGCCCCAGGCGGCAUAGUGUCUACUAGGUACGCACAAAUAGUUACGCCUCUCAUAAAUAACCACUUCAUAGUAUAAAGUCAUCCAUCGUCUAUACUAUAAAGAGGGGUUUCUAAAACAUGUUCUAGCAUCCUAUCGUCAUCCAUCGGAUAGUCUACCAGUUCAUAGUUUUUAUAGAAAAUACGAUAUAUCAUAAUAUAACUCAAUAUAGGCUAACAAUGAAUCCUCACCAAAACACGAGACGAAAAUCAAUAUAUUAAAUCAACAGGCUUCACAUAAAUCAAAUCAUAAAUUCGUAGGAAUGCUAAUCAUUUAUGCAAUUAAAUUAUCAAAUCAUGAAAUUUUAGAAGGGGUCCACUCACAAAUAUUCCUUAGCAGAAGAAUUGCGCGAAUCAGGAUUACGAAUUUCCUUAAUAACAACUUUACCUAAGCACAAAAAUGUAAUAAAUAAAUAAAAGAAUUUUCUAAAAGAUUAGGUUUGAAUUAAAUAAAAUAGGGGAUUUGGGAUUGAAUGGGUUUAGGGUUUUAAAGGAUUUUAGGAACCUCGGGUUUUGGGUUAAAAUGGUAUUAGGGUCAGAAUUGAGGUUUGGGCUUAAACCCAAACAUACACACACAUUACAAACACACACACACAUGCAUGUGCAUGCAUAAACACACACACACACACCUCAAAAUACACACACACACACGGGCACAAAAUCACAAGGCCUUAAGGCCUUAAUAAAAAUAAAUAAAGAAAAACAGGGCUUUAAGCCCUUUUUAAAAACCACCGACCCAAGGCCCUUUUUUGGGUUUAAAAAAAAUAAAAACAGUAAGCUAAUAAAAGAAAAAAGUUUGGGGUUUAAUGGGCUUAAGGCCCGAGGGAAAGAAAUGGGAAGGCCGGCUGGCCUUGGUUUGCCGAGAGAGAAUGCCGGAGCUGCUACAGCUCCGGUCACUUGAAAACGAGAGCUUCGAGCUCCGAUCUAGGUACAAACAUGAAGAACAAGGAGAGAGAGAGAUGUUUCUACCUUCCAAAGACCGUGACUCAGUCAGAGGUGACCGGAAAAAGCUCCCAACGUCCACGGUUCGCCAGAAAAAUGGGUGUGCUCACCCUGGAACGAUUCCAAGGCAAAACCUACGUAAAAAUGGAAGGUUCAAGCUUCUAAAUCACAACCAAGCAACAAUCUAACAACGAGAAGGAGAGAUUCGACUUACCUAACGGAAAAAGAGGGAGGGGGGUUCACCGGAGCUUUGCUCCGUGCUGUCAAACUCGCGGGCAGAGAGGUCCUGGGCUCGUUGCGAGCUUCUCUUCGAUGGUGACUCGGUCCUAGUGAGUCCACAGGAAGAGAGAUAUGCGAGAGUUUGAGGGAGAGAGGUACGGGAGAGCUGAGAGAGAGAGGGAGAGAGUGAGAGCUACGAGGGAGAGAGACGAAGGAGAAGGAAGAGGUCU
rnacentral:lncRNA from 1 species